GACGAACGCUGGCGGCGUGCUUAACACAUGCAAGUCGAACGGAAAGGCCCUGCUUUUGUGGGGUGCUCGAGUGGCGAACGGGUGAGUAACACGUGAGUAACCUGCCCUUGACUUUGGGAUAACUUCAGGAAACUGGGGCUAAUACCGGAUAGGAGCUCCUGCUGCAUGGUGGGGGUGGGAAAGUUCGGCGGUUGGGGAUGGACUCGCGGCUUAUCAGCUUGUUGGUGGGGUAGUGGCUUACCAAGGCUUUGACGGGUAGCCGGCCUGAGAGGGUGACCGGCCACAUUGGGACUGAGAUACGGCCCAGACUCCUACGGGAGGCAGCAGUGGGGAAUAUUGCACAAUGGGCGGAAGCCUGAUGCAGCAACGCCGCGUGCGGGAUGACGGCCUUCGGGUUGUAAACCGCUUUCGCCUGUGACGAAGCGUGAGUGACGGUAAUGGGUAAAGAAGCACCGGCUAACUACGUG
rnacentral:rRNA from 1 species